rnacentral:lncRNA from 1 species
UCGCAUGAACAGUACCUCAAAAAUGGAGGUUCGGGAUCUACGUGAAAUCGAAGGUUUCACUUCCUAAAACUAGCACCAAUGAACUCAGGACGUCAAAACGAUGAAGAUACAUACCUUAUUUGCCCCGAUCCGUCAAGUUUUGAAGGGUUUUGGUGGUGGUCCGUACGAUAUGGGUGUGUUGGGUGUGAGGUCGGGAGAGAGAGAGAGAGACUGAGAGGGUGAUCGAGAGGGAGGAGAGAAAGGGACUGAUCUUGUGUGGUCAAACCAAUCCACACCAUCCAAAAUCUCUCUUAAGUCCCUAACCACAAAAAUAUAAAAUCAACUUCCAAAAUAUUUCUAACUUAAACAACUUCUUAAAAGUUUAGGGACCAAACAUUUUCAAAACGUAAUACACCCAUACCUUGAUACCUGACAAGGGCAUUUUUGUCCUUUCACAUUCCCGCCAAAAGUACCUCCGGGACGGGCUGUGACAUGUUUGCUGUAAUUUGAUUAUUUGAAGUUAGAUUCAUUACAAUACGUUAUUUGGUAAAAAUAUGAAUCGACGAUCCGACCGUUGGAUCGUCACUAAAUUUUGAUAUGUUAUAAUGCAUAAUAUUUUAGGAUUUUAGGAACUUACAGAUCAGGAAUCCGAAGUACGGAUCUUUCCGAAUUGAAUUUGUAAGUUUAUAAAAUAAAUGUUAACCGCCACUUGGUUUUAGGCAAUUGGCGGAGAUCCGACCGUUGGAUCAUAAUGAAACUUUAGGACAUUGUUCUAGAAACAUAAUGUGGGUCUUUGGAAGUAACGGAUCAGAAAUCCGUGAUGCGGACCUUUCGGAUCGAAUUACAUAGGGAUGUGUUUUACAUAAAUUAUGUGUUCUAUUGUUAUAAACUCUGAGUCGAGAUUUGAUAAUUGCUCUAGGCGACAAUGGUUCAUGAUGUCUUGAUAUUCGUACUAGGGAGUUGUAGCGCGGACCUCAAGUAAGUGGGUCUUUUCCUUUCUAUCGUGUGUGUAUAUAUAUAUAUACGAUUGAUAAUUCCACAAACGGUUAUAAAUUGAUUAUUGCAUAUAAUUACGGUGAAUGCUUUGAAGUACUAAUGUGAACUACGAAUGGCUUGAUCCUUGUUUAGGGUACGUAGGCAGUCUAACGAGACGUUAAAAUAUCCAUACAAUAUUGAAAUAAAAACCUUGUUUGGGAAUUGAGCAAUGUGAAGGAAAUUGGUGAAAAUAUGAGAUUUAACCUUAUGUUUUUAGUGAUUGGAUGUUGGUCAUAAAUCUAUGUGGAUAGAAUUAAAAAUUUGAAAUAAGGAAACGUAAGUAAUGAUAGUUAAUCAAACUAGUGUUUAGUUGGACUUAUCCCUCAUAAUUAUUUUCGAAAAUAAAUAAUUCGGGAGUAAAGCGUUAUAGAUUGUGCAUUUUACGCCACAUUGUAUAUAUAUAUGUAUAUAUUGGAAAAAUACUAUGAUAUGGUUGAGUUUUAGAUUUGCAUUAUGGUUUAUCUAUAUGUAUAUUACCUGCACAUAAUUAUUGUAAAUGCUUUGAAGUGCAAGGGUGAACGCAGGACGUCCAGGUAAAUUCAGGUGAGUUUAUGAUAUUAGUUGAAAUGAUCGAGUGAUGGCAUGACUAUAUUAUGUUUUAGGCAACUCCAACAUUGUCGUACGGGUUGCCUAUGAGUUGUAUAUACCAUAUGAGAUGUAUUUAGAGAUCAUAAACCUGCACCCCGAUGUUAGUGCUCCUGCCCGUGGCCAGGGCACAGUCCUUCAUGUGAUGUUCACCUCCCACACCUUACGCUCACCUUGGAUCCAAGGUAGGUGCACAGGCCUGUUGUACAAACCACUAUAGAUGGUUCCGCCUCGUAGGUAACCCGCGAUUAUUCGUACAGUCUUCACGUGAUCAUAGCACUUGAGCGUACUUAUUUACACCCAGUCUUGUCGUACUACAGACCACUAUAAGUGGUUCCGACUCGUGUGCAGGGAUAUAUAAUGAGCUAGCAUAUGUGAUGAGAAAUAUAAUGAGCUAGCAAAUGUGAUGAGAUAUAUAAUGAGCUAGCAUAUGUGAUGAGAAAUAUAAUGAGCUAGCAUAUGUGAUGGGAUAUAUGAUGAGCUAGCAUAUGUGAUGAGAAAUAUAAUGAGCUAGCAUAUGUGAUGAGAUAUAUGAUGAGCUAGCAUAUGUGAUGGGAUAUAAUGAGCUAGCAUAUAUGAUGAGAUAUAUAAUAAGCUAGCAUAUGUGAUGGGAUAUAUAAUGAGCUAGCAUAUGUGAUGAGAAAUAUAAUGAGCUAGCAUAUGUGAUGAUAUAUAUGAUGAGCUAGCAUAUGUGAUGAGAUAUAUAAUGAGCUAGCAUAUGUGAUCAGAUAUAUAAUAAGCUAGCAUAUGUGAUCAUAUAUAUGAUGAGCUAGCAUAUGUGAUGAAAUAUAUGAUGAGCUAGCAUAUGUGAUGAAAUAUAUGAUGAGCUAGCAUAUGUGAUGAGAAAUAUAUGAUGAGCUAGGAUAUGUGAUGAGAAAUAUGAUGAGCUAACAUAUGUGAUGAGAUAUAUGAUGAGCUAGCAUAUAUGAUGAGAAAUAUAUGAUGAGCUAGCAUAAGUGAUGAGAUAUGGAUAGUCGUACAGGUCACUAUAGGUAACUCCGACUUAUGUGCUAGCAUGAUUGAUAAGAUAUGAGUACAGUCGUACAGGUCACUAGAGGUGACUCCGACGUAUGUGCUAGCAAUGAUUGAUGAGAUAUGAGUACAGUCGUACAUGUCACAUUAGGUGACUCCGGCUGAUAUAUAUAUAUAUAUAUAUAUAUAUAUUAUUAAUUAAGUUCAUUUGACCUACUUGUUAAUGCAUUGUUGAGUUGAUGGACAUGACAUACCCGUGGAUUUGGCCAUUCUUGAGUAUGGUUUGGAUAUAUAUAUAUAUAUAUAUAUAUGGAGUAUUGUCUUAUGGCAAAUGAUAUGAGUUUUACAGUGAUGGGUUAUUACUUUUGGAAAGGUAAUAGUUCUGGGAAACUUGGUUUUAUUGCUCACUCACAUUCUCUGUUUUGUGCCCCUCCAGGUUUUAGCUACUGAGUUCGUAUCGACGAGGAUCUGUGGCGAAUUUUAGUAUUGGUGGCCACCUCUGAGGGUAUGAUUCUUACCCAUAGUACUGUAAUUUGCUUAUGCUCUGACAUCGCGUGUGAAAUGGAUUCGCUCCCGCUCACAGCACACUCUGGUAUUUAGACAUUUUGAGAUUCAAAUUUAUUCACAUUUUACACACUAUCACAUUUUAUGGCUUCGUUACCUACCAGGUGUCGGCCAUCACAGCUCGAUUCUGAGUCCAAGUGAACUUUUCGGGUCGAGGUGUGUCAAAUACAAUUAUGUAUUUUUUAAGUAUAAAUAGGUGUUUAUUUAUACAAAAUAUUAUAUAUUUCCUUAAAUUCGUCUAGUCUGAUGGACCCAUCCUAGCCGCCUAGGCGCUAGGUCCCAGCCUACCGUCUAAUUAGUGUCUAGCAUCUUUUAAAAACUUGGUAGUUGUUGUUCACUUAAUAGUGAAAUGCCUUGACUUUUUCUAUCACUCUUCACCCCCUUUGAAUAGUUAUGCCAUUCACAAUGAUAAUUUUUUUAGAUACUAUUUAAUUAUUUAAUAAUCAUUUAACGGAUGAGAUUAUUUUAUAAUAGGUUACUAUAAUUGCGCUAUGUGACUAUCUUUUAUUUUUGGUGAAUAUUGUUUUUGGUGUCCAUUUUAAGAUCUGAAUACUUUUUCAAAGAGCGAACAACGAGAUGAAUUAAACUCGUAGCUUUGCCACAACUAAGGAUGGAUUUUGGUGUGUGGGGUGAAGAAUAUGAUUUGGUACUUAUAGAAGACAAAAGGGAAUCGUUGAAGUUUUUUCUUUUCUACGUAUAAAAAAAUUCUGAUUUGUCCUAAAUUUUUACCCAUUUUUAUAAUUUUUUAUCUCGAAAUAAAUUGUGACAGU